GAUGAACGCUGGCGGCGUGCCUAAUACAUGCAAGUCGAACGAAACUUCUAUAUCACCGAGUGCUUGCACUCACCGAUAAAGAGUUGAGUGGCGAACGGGUGAGUAACACGUGGGCAACCUGCCCAAAAGAGGGGGAUAACACUUGGAAACAGGUGCUAAUACCGCAUAACCAUAGUUACCGCAUGGUAACUAUGUAAAAGGUGGCUAUACUACCGCUUUUGGAUGGGCCCGCGGCGCAUUAGCCAGUUGGUAGGGUAAAGGCUUACCAAGGCAAUGAUGCGUAGCCGAACUGAGAGGUUGAUCGGCCACAUUGGGACUGAGACACGGCCCAAACUCCUACGGGAGGCAGCAGUAGGGAAUCUUCCACAAUGGGCGAAAGCCUGAUGGAGCAACGCCGCGUGGGUGAAGAAGGUCUUCGGAUCGUAAAACCCUGUUGUUAGAGAAGAAAGUGCGUGAGAGUAACUGUUCACGUUUCGACGGUAUCUAACCAGAAAGCCACGGCUAACUACGUG
rnacentral:rRNA from 1 species